rnacentral:rRNA from 1 species
UACAGAGGGGGCAAGCGUUGUUCGGAAUUACUGGGCGUAAAGGGCGCGUAGGCGGCCUUCUAAGUCGAACGUGAAAUCCCCGGGCUCAACCCGGGAACUGCGUCCGAUACUGGAAGGCUUGAAUCCGGGAGAGGGAUGCAGAAUUCCAGGUGUAGCGGUGAAAUGCGUAGAUAUUAGGAAGAACACCAGUGGCGAAGGCGGCUCACUGGUCCGGUACUGACGCUGAGGUGCGAAAGCGUGGGGAGCAAACAGG